CCUUUUGGUUCGGAACAACUGAGGGAAACUUCAGCUAAUACCGGAUAAGCCCUUACGGGGAAAGAUUUAUCGCCGAAAGAUCGGCCCGCGUCUGAUUAGCUAGUUGGUGAGGUAAUGGCUCACCAAGGCGACGAUCAGUAGCUGGUCUGAGAGGAUGAUCAGCCACAUUGGGACUGAGACACGGCCCAAACUCCUACGGGAGGCAGCAGUGGGGAAUAUUGGACAAUGGGCGCAAGCCUGAUCCAGCCAUGCCGCGUGAGUGAUGAAGGCCCUAGGGUUGUAAAGCUCUUUUGUGCGGGAAGAUAAUGACGGUACCGCAAGAAUAAGCCCCGGCUAACUUCGUGCCAGCAGCCGCGGUAAUACGAAGGGGGCUAGCGUUGCUCGGAAUCACUGGGCGUAAAGGGUGCGUAGGCGGGUCUUUAAGUCAGGGGUGAAAUCCUGGAGCUCAACUCCAGAACUGCCUUUGAUACUGAAGAUCUUGAGUUCGGGAGAGGUGAGUGGAACUGCGAGUGUAGAGGUGAAAUUCGUAGAUAUUCGCAAGAACACCAGUGGCGAAGGCGGCUCACUGGCCCGAUACUGACGCUGAGGCACGAAAGCGUGGGGAGCAAACAGGAUUAGAUACCCUGGUAGUCCACGCCGGUAAACGAUGAAUGCCAGCCCGUUUAGUGGGGUUUACUCACCUAGUGGGCGCAGCUUAACGCCUUUU
rnacentral:rRNA from 1 species